AGGGUGGAGCGACCCUCCCCUCCUCCCUCCUGGCCCCUCGACUACACACGGGGUCUCUCCUUCCUUCCUCCUCGGGAGGAGCCCGACUGGGAGACGCCGCGGGGACUACCCAUUUCCAGCCCGCUCACCUUUCCCAUGCAGCAGCCCCUGCUUCACUCACUGAUCACUCCUUCGCGAGACCAUUAGUGACUGAGCACCUAGCGCGUGGUGUGUCAGGAGCUGGAGAUUGAGCCUUGAACGGAGCAGGCCUUGUCCACAGGAAGCUUACAGUCUGGAGAAGACAGAUGAAAGACACGAAGAAGCCAAUUGACUUGCCGAGGCUCCAGGGCAGCGCUGUCCAAUAGAAACAUGAUGAGAGCCACGUGUGUCGUUUCUUAUUUGACUCAGAGGAACUGACUGCUUCCGUUUUCCCAGAAUUCUGUCAAAUAUUUAUCAAGUGUCCACAUGUACCCAAGCGACGCACAUUCCUUACAUAGAGGAAGGUAAGGAAAGAAUCAUAUCUAUUUUUUUCACCUUCUUGAGAAAAAGAUACUGCUGCUUAUUAGCCUCAACGAGUCUUGUAAUGUGAAAAACACAACAUUUUCCUGUACCUUUUAUGGAUAUCUUCAUUAGCUGUGGAUGGCAAUACAAAUCCUUCUUCAUCUAAUUUAAUUUCAACAUCUGGUGAGAGAAGAAAGGAAAAAUUCCUCG
rnacentral:sRNA from 1 species